CGGACUUGUCUGGGACUUAGAGCUCUCAUGGGAGGAUGUUCCACUGGACUGCAAUGACCUAUCCCAGCUAAGCCUCACCGAGCAGGUCGGGUAUAUUCGACUGACUUCUGUCGAAAUGAAGUAUGAUGUCGAGAAGUGUAUGUUUAUUUCUAAUCUCCAUGAUAUCAAAGACGUGGGUACUUGACUCUUCUCAGUAGCGCUGCUCUGUUUUAGAUUUGUGUGACUGUCUACCUGAUUUUGUGUUGAUUUUUGAAUUUUUACAGCUUCCCAGGUGAAGAUGGAUCAAAUUAAGCC
rnacentral:lncRNA from 1 species